rnacentral:rRNA from 1 species
GCCAGAGCCAUAUCUCCCUGCAGUUCUCGCCUGGUUUCCCACUGAAGCUAAGCAGGGUUGAGCCUGGACUGUAUCUGGCCAGUACCUGGAUGAGAGACCUCUAGGGGAAAACUAAGGUUGCUGCUGGAA